rnacentral:rRNA from 1 species
GACGAACGCUGGCGGCGUGCCUAAUACAUGCAAGUCGAACGAGUGGCGGACGGGUGAGUAACACGUGGGAACCUACCCAUCAGAGGGGGAUAACCCUUGGAAACCGGUGCUAAUACCGCAUACGCUAUGAGGGACCCGCGGUGCAUUAGCUAGUAGGUGGGGUAACGGCUCACCUAGGCGACGAUCCCACGCUGGUCUGAGAGGAUGACCAGCCACACUGGAACUGAGACACGGUCCAGAAUCCUACGGGAGGCAGCAGUGGGGAAUAUUGCACAAUGGGCGCAAGCCUGAUGCAGCCAUGCCGCGUGUAUGAAGAAGGCCUUCGGGUUGUAAAGUACUUUCAGCGAGGAGGCGUUACUCGCAGAAGAAGCACCGGCUAACUCCGUGCCAGCCGCCGCGGUAAUAC